GAAGAACGCUGGCGGCGUGCUUAACACAUGCAAGUCGAGCGGAGCGGCGAACGGGUGAGUAACGCGUGAGUAACUGCCCCCCUCUCUGGGAUAACAGUUGGAAACGGCUGCUAAUACCGGAUAGUGGGGGAUGACUCGCGUCCUAUCAGCUUGUUGGUGGGGUAGUGGCCUACCAAGGCGACGGCGGGUCGCCGGCCUGAGAGGGCGACCGGACACAUGGGGCGGAGAUACGGGCCAAAACCCGACGGGGGGCAUGAGUGGGGAAUAUUGCACCAUGGGGGAAACUCGGAUGCAGCAACGCCGCUGGCGGGAUGACGGCCUUCGGGUUGUAAACCGCUUUCAGCCAUGAAGCGGUAGUGGCAGAAGAAUCACCGGCGAACUACGUGCCAGCAGCCGCGGUAAUUC
rnacentral:rRNA from 1 species